rnacentral:rRNA from 1 species
UACGGAGGGGGCCAGCGUUGUUCGGAAUCAUUGGGCGUAAAGGGCGCGUAGGCGGCUUUGUAAGUCCGUUGUGAAAUCCCUCGGCUCAACCGAGGAACUGCGACGGAUACUGCUCGGCUUGAGUCCCGGAGAGGGUAGCGGAAUUCCCAGUGUAGCGGUGAAAUGCGUAGAUAUUGGGAGGAACAUCGGUGGCGAAGGCGGCUACCUGGACGGGUACUGACGCUGAUGCGCGAAAGCGUGGGGAGCGAACAGG